GCAGCAUCCACAUGACAGGCGGCGCCGACGGGGUAAAUUCUGAGAUCCUGCCCCUGAGCUUUCAUGAGCUGUUGAACCAUCCGGAAUUCACAGGCCUGUCAUGAGAGACACGAUGAGAAGUCCUUAAAGGUAGAUCGCUGAUUCACAGGGGAGCAGGCGGAGGCAAGGGUGAGUCAGUGCUUGGAACUCAGUCAUCCAGAUUUGGCUCUGGAAACUUCUGAAGCUGUAGCCUUUGGGGAUCCCUGACUGCGAGUACAGGAAGCCAACGCUAUGUGGUCUUCUGGAAACUCAUUAUCUUUUUCACUGGUGCUAUCUGGGAAAAACAGAUGAAAACCUGAAGGUGUUCUGUAUGUGUGCUUUCAAAAGCAAGGAUCUGGCCGGACGCAGUGGCUCAGGCCUGUAAUCCCAGCACUUUGGGAGGCCGAGGCAGGAGGAUCACCUGAGGUCAGGAGUUUGAGACCAGCUUGGCCAACAUGGCGAAACGGUCU
rnacentral:sRNA from 1 species